rnacentral:sRNA from 1 species
UAUUCCAGCAGCCGCGGUAAUACGUUCCCGGGCCUUGUACACACCGCCCGUCACAUCACGAAAGUCGGUUGCACUAGAAGUCGGUGGGCCAACCCGCAAGGGAGGCAGCCGCCUAAAGUGUGAUCGGUAAUUGGGGUGAAGUCGUAACAAGGUAGCUGUAGGAGAACCUGCGGCUGGAUCACCUCCUUUCUAAGGAGCAUUCUCCGCCUCGGAUCCAAACGAGGUCGUGAAGGCGACACCGUCUAGGUGUCGACCGAGUUUGCCCUAGGUCGACAGGAAUCGCCGUACGUUGACCUGCUUGUAUUUCCUGUUCAGUUUUCAGGGCAUCGUCCCUGGUGUCUUUGACAAUUGAAUACGGGGAAGUAGAUAAAGAGAUGCAAGGAGCUUUUCUUUUUGAAGAGAAGCAACUGCAGAUCGCAUGAGAUCAAGGCACUUUAUGGUCAAGUUACUAAGGGUUGACGGUGGAUACCUAGGCACACAGAGA